AAAUCGGCUAAACCGUUUCGAUACAAGGUGCUUCAAAAUUGGGAUGAUAUAGUGGAUUUGUGUGCUAAAGAUAAAGCCACCGGUCAUAGAGCUGAAACUGCUAUGGAUGCUGAUGAAGCGACAAGUAGAGAAACAAAUGAAGUGGAAUUCAUGGGGUUAGAUGCUACUGCCAUAGAUUUAGAAGAACCAAGCUCUAAUACAAAAGGAAAAAGACAAGGUUCGACUUCUUCUAGCACACAUCCUCACAAGAGAAAGAUGGGAGAAAAAGAAGGAAUAGCAGCUUCUUUGGAUAAAAUGGCGAACUCUUUUAACUGAAUGGUGGAAAAAAUGGAUGGUAAAGUUGAUGAUGAAGAUAUUCAAGAAGUAUUACGUGAGGCAACUUUGAUACCAGAUCUUAAUAGACAACAAUGGGCUAAAGCUAUUAAAUGGUUAGCUGACGAUCCAAAACAGUUAGCUAUUGUGAAAGCCCUUCCAAUUCACCAAAAGACAGAUUAUGUUUUAACACAUCUUGGAGAAUGAAACUUGCAUUGGAUGUUAAUUAUUCAGGUUCCUCGACCUUUUACACUUGAUGAUGAAUGAAGAUUAUGGAAUGAAGAACGUUUUUUUUUUCAAUUUGGACCUUGUAAUUCUUGUUUAAGAUCUUUGUUUGGAACUUGAUUAAUUAAGACCUUGUAAUGCUUGUGUUGAUUCGUGUUUAUGCGUUAGUGCGUUAUUAA